AAUUUCCUACUAUGACAUGUGUGUUGGACAGUGUAGGGCAUAGCAAUGAUUAGUGAUUUUCAGCAGCCUUUCUUGAAUAGGCAUUGAAAAUAGCUAAACAAAAAAAGAGAAAUGAGCUGAAUUCUUGGAGUUAAUAUUUUGGAGUGAAUUAUAAAACAGAGUUCUUGCAAUAAUGCAUGUAAAUUAAAAAUAGGUUAGCAAAGCAUGAGUAAAAAUAGUCAAUUUUCAAAUACUUUUCACAGCUCUCCGAGUCUGACAUAUUUCUCUGGCUAAAAGGGAAGAAACAUAUCGGCACUCAUGUUGGGAAGACCUUAGAACAGCAAAGUACUAAAACUUGCCAAACCAACUUCAAGUGGCUUUCUUGUUAGUGCAAUACACACUGCACUGAGUUCCUGAGCAUAAUAUUUCCACCCUUUCCCACGGAGUCUGCUUAAAUUUGAAGAUUUUUUUUCUAGUAGGUGUAUUGUCCUUAAUUUUGGAGGAAGUUUUAAAAAGGUGGAUUAAUGUUAUAUAUGCUUCCGAGAAUAUUAUGCAACCAUGAAGCUUUGCACUUCAACAUAAAUGAAUCCCAAAAAGAGCCAGAUGAACUGUUGGCUGGGAGGCAGAGCCUUAGGAUGUUUCAAAUUCAUCGUGACUUCACAUAAAGGUCCUCUCUGGAGUAUGAAAGUCAAUUUUACAGGUGUAAAAUAAAGGAAAAGACGACAGUCUGAAAGUCAAACGAAAUUCCAGGACCACCUGUAUUUCAGUGAGGCUAGACCCUCCACUAUAACACUGAAUAGAAUUAGAGAAAACAGCUAUCUUGCCUUGUUCUCUAUCAUAGAAGGAAGCAUUCAGAAUUCCACUACUAAGUAUAAUGGUCACGUGCCAUAGAUGGAGCAGAGUGAAGCAAGAUAAAGCCUGUUGAUUUUUCAAUUCUUGUAGUUUUCCUAAGCUUGCAGAGAAAACUCCAAGUAUUUUUUGCAAGGAAAAGUUGAUGAUACUGAUGAUGAUGGUGAUGGUGAUGGUGGUACUGAUUAGAGUGCUGAUGGUAGUAGUCCUGUAACUUGAACAAGGUUACAGGACAAGUAGAAUAUGGCAGAGAUGGAAUUUGAACCCAAGCAAUCAAAUUCAAAAGACUAUACUCUAAAGCAAUGGCACUCAGGGAGUGAUCCAUCAGUGCCUGUGCACAACAAGGUCCACAACCUGGCAUUUAGUGGUAGGCCUGGAGCUGCUCUUGGUCAACAGUGUCAGAAGUUGGGAAGAAGAGCUGCAUAUCAAGCAGAAGAGAAUGAGAAGAAACAGGAACCCACUUCUGCAUCUGUCUAUAGCAACAUCUGACUAUAACGACCUUCAAAAGAUAAUGGCUGUUGCUUCAUUUCCAACCCUCCAAAUCUCAAGCAAGUAUAUCUUUGGGCCAACUGUAACCUAUAACUCUAUAGGGAAGAGGUUUCUGAGAACUCUGUGUCACAGCUUAACCAUACAAAGACAAUACAAACCAUCCCGAUGAUGAUGAUGGUUGGUAAUAAUGAAGAAAAUAAUAUGAGUGUUUUCUCAAGGAAGGCUACUUCUUGAUGGCAGUUCUGGGAGACAUAAGAGAAGUUUUAUUUUUACCCAAAUGGUUGGUAAAUAAAUUACUGUGUGACAUGACAGAGUUCAAGUUAUAUGAUAUAGUAGAUUCACAUUAUGCCAAAAACUAUAAGACUCCCAGACACAGCCCAGGAAUUCAUUUUGAGAGCUAUCAUAGGCUUCUGAAUGUGCUACCAUCUAUGCUCUUAAUUUAAACCUUAAUUUGCUGUGUGGACGACAGACUACUCUGAAAACAACCCCAAAUGCUUCAGUGCAGGACUAUGUGUCGUGGAUAAAGUAACAAAAUUACAUAUUCAACCCAUUAUGGCCAUCCUCUUGUAUGGAAGAUGUAGAUUGUUACCAAUAUUUAACUCUUAUAAUUAACUUGAAUAAAUUUCCUUACAAAAUAAAUAUGUACACUUGUAAAUAUUCCAUUAUAGUAUCUUUCUUAGUGUAGAUAUCCUGGAGUAAAAGAAAAAUAUUUACAAAACAAGGUAACAAUUUUUAAAGCAAAAUAUCUAUUAUCAAAUUGUUCUCCAGAUAGGUAUUACCAAUUACACACCCACCAGCCCAGCAGUGUGAAAAUAUCACAUCUCCCACACCCCCAUCCACACCCACGUGGAAAAUUAUUAUUAAAAAUUAAUUUUUACCAACUUGAGAGGGAAAUGGUCCUAUUUUAAUUUUUUCAGGGGUGGAUUCAUAUGUUUACUAGAUAUGUAUAUGUAUCCUUCUAUGAGAUACUUGUUAGGUUAUUUCCCAUUUCUGUGUUGUGGCAUUAAUUUCUUUUUCUUGUUAAUAAUGCUCCCGAAGUUUUAUGUCAGUCUUUUCAUUUGUUUAUAGUAUUUUAUGGCAAAGGAUUUUCUUAAUUAAGUGGUUGUAGUCAAAUCUGCUAGUUUUUAUCUUUGUUUUCAGUUUGCAAUGUCAUGUAUAGACAUGCCUAUCUACCACCGAAAGUAUUUUAAAAAGCAAUGUGUAGGUUUUCUACUUUUGAAGAAUGUGCGUUUUCUACUUUUGAAGUAUGUGCAUUUUCUACCAAAGUCUUUAGUUUGUUUGAUAUGUGCAAUGAAGAAAAAUAUCUAACAAUACCUUAACUUUUCUCGAAUAAUAUUCCAAUUAUCCUAAUAUCCUUUGUGACUUAAACUUCCUAUUCUGACUUAAAAAGACUUUUAUCAUAAGUGCUCUACUUAAUCAUAGCCUUAGCACAUAGUGUGAGUCCUAGAGUCAGACUACAAGGUAAUUACUGUCACUUACAAGCUGUGUGACCUUAAGUGAUUUAAUUUAAUCAUCCUGUGACUAAGUUUUCUAAUCUGUAAAAUUGGAAUAAUGUGAGGAUAAAAUUAUCAUAAGGAUUAGCAAGCUGAAUUAACACGUGUAACGCUCAUAGACGACUGCCUGGCACAUAGUGAAUACUCAGGAAAUAUUACUGGUUGUUGUGUAGCGAGGUGUAUAAUGAAACACUGGUACAAUUUCAGAUUUUGGGUUUUGAGGACCGGGCUUAGAGGGUCACCUUGGGGAGAAUCUUGUAGAGUCCCACAUCUACCCUCUGCCUCAAUGAGAUACGAUCCUCCACUUUGAUGAGAUACUACCACUUGGAGAACUUGCUACAUGUCAAUCCCUGCUAUGGAGAAAGUAGACUUUUAUUCUAAUGCAGUAGACUUGAAAUCAUUUGAAUGUGAGAGAAGAGCUGGAGUCAGAAAGAGAUAAAAAGAGGGCCUGAGACUAUGCCUUAAAUUGUUAAUACAUUUAAGGGAUAGAAGAAAGAAAAGGAGAACCGUUAGAGAAGAUAGAAAGAAAUUGUUUCCUGGAUCAAAAACAGUUCUAGACUGGACUGUGUCUCCCACCCCUUUAAAUUCAUGUGUUGAAGCUCUAGCCCUCAAUGGGACUGUAUUUGGAGAUAAGACCUUUAAAGAUGUAAUUAAAGUUAAACGAGGUCAUAAGAGUAGGGCCCUAAUCCAAUAAAGCCUGUGUUCUUAUAAGAAGAGGAAGAGACUUCAAGGAUGCCUGGAAAGGCCAUGUGAGGACACAGCCAGGCAGGGGCCAUCUGCAAGCCAAGAAGAGAGCCCUCAGGAGAAACCACACUUGCUAACACCUGGAUCUUGGCUCUCCAACCUCCAGAAUUGUAAGAAAUAAAUUUCUGUUGUUCUAGCCACCCAGUCUGUGGGAUUUUGUUAUGGCAGCCCUGGCAGACUAAUACAGGAUCCAAGAGAAGAGAGAGUUUGAAAAAGGUGGGAGUGAUUGAUUGUGAGAAGUGCUGCUGAAAACACAACAAUAAAGUAAGCUGAGAACUUAAGUGUCUGUUGGAUCAGGAAAUAAGAAGUCAUUGUUAAUUUUGACAAGAACAUUUUAAUGGACUGAUAGAGGCAGAUUGCAGCGGAUUGAAGACUAAAGAGCAGGAUUCACAUAGAAAAUAUGGCAAUAUUUCAAAUCAUCAAAAUGACAAUAUGGCUGAGUAGGUGUUGUAUAAUGAAUAAAGAACUUCAUAAUUAAAUGCUUAUUCACAACUUUUAGUCUGAACAUCUUUUGCUGUAGGAGAUCUUGCCAAAUUGAUUCCCUUCGUACUUCCCAGUCCAAAUCUAAAUUAGUCACUGCUAUUACAUAUAUGUUACCUUAUCAUUUUUAAAUUGUAGUCUGUAUCAUAGUUACUUAUACUUCUGCAGUUACUUAAUUUUCUCUCUCACGAGGCAGUAAGCAAUGUGAGAACAAGGAUCAUAUUUGGUUUAUUCCAUUAUCUAUGGUUAGAACAUAGUGGACAUUUAAUAUGCAUUAAAUAAAACUAAAAUUCAUUCAACAAUAUGUCAUUAAAAUCUUUACAUGUCAAAUAUAUCAUUUUACUGACUGGAUUUUAUGUAUACAUAUAAUUUACACCAGCCUUUCCUACUAUAAAUUAUACUAUCUGGAAUUGUUUAGCCAGUUAAGGAUUAAAUUCUGCCAUAAAAUUUAACUUUUUUCUUUUUUCUCCAGAAAAACUGUUUUGACCCUGGGCUUUUUUUGCAAGUAGUUUUCUAAUUUUCUAAAUAAUUUUUUGGCCUGUCAUGGUAGCUCAUGCCUACAAUCCCAGCACUUUGUAAGGCAGAGGUGAGAGGAUGGCUUGAGGCCAGGAGUUUGAGACCAGCCUGGACAACAUAGUGAGACCUAACUCUAUGUAUUAAAAAUACAAAUAAAAACAUUAGCAGGGCAUGGUGGUGCAUGUGAGCAUGAGAGGUCGAGGCUGCAGUGAGCAGUGAUUGCGCCACUGCACUCCAGCCUGUGCAACAGACUGAAACUCUGUCUCGAAAGAAAAAGAAAAAAAAUUUUCAUGGUAAUUGCCUUAUUCAAGUUUCCAGCUCUAGUUGUACAUAGCAUUCUCAUUUUUAAUCUGUGUUAAGUAAUUAUUUCAUAUUCUUAAUUCUAACUUUGAUGGCUUUUUUCCUUUAAAAAAACUUUAUUGAAGUAUAAUUUACAUAUAAUAAAAUGCACCUAUUAAGUUGUACAGUUUGAUGAGCUUUCACAAAUGCCACCACCAUAAACAAGAUAUAGAACACUUCCAUCACUCAGAGAAGUACACUCAUGCCCCUUUGCAGACAAUCACUUCUACCUCUGCCCAAGGCAACCACUGAUAUACUUUGUCAAUUUAGAUGAAGAUCUCAUAUAAAUUGAAUCAUAUGGCACAUAUUCAGCAGAACAUGGUGUCACAGGAAUUCAUCCAUGUAGUUGUAUGUAUCAGUAGUUGAUGCCUUUUUAUUGCUGCAUAGUAUCUUUCCAAUGAAACAUGUUAUUCUUUUCAAAGAAUAAAAAAAUUCUUUAGAAACAAUUGCUUAUCCAUUCACAAGAUGAUAAAUAUUUAGGUUAUCAUCAGGUGCUUGAGUUUUCUAUUGCUAUUUUAACAAAUAAACACAAACUUGAUGGGAUACAAUGACACAAAUUUAUCAUCUUAUAGCUCUGGAGAUAAAAAGUCCAAAAUAAGUUUCAUGGUACUAAAAUCAAGAUGUGGCAGGACUCCAUUUCUUCUGGAUGUUUAGAGGCAGUGUUUUCUUUCUUUUUCCAGCUUCUAGAGGUUCCCACAUUCCUUGGCUCCUAGGCUCCUUUCAUCUUCAAAGCCAACACAUCUUUCUCAUAGCUUCUUACCUCUGAGUUGACAAUGUCUCUUUUUUGCUUGUAGGUAGCCUUGUGAUUACAUUGGGCUUACCCAGAUCCAGAUCAUCUAGGAUAAUCUCUCUACCCAAGAUCUUUAAUGUAAUCACACCUGCAAAGUCCCUUUUGGGAAGAAAGGUAAUAUAUUCAUAGUUUCUGGAGAUUAGGCCUUUCCAGGCAAAGAGGUGGAAAUCUUUGUGGGGCCAUUUUUCUGCCUCCUACACAAGGUAAAGGAUAUUAUGAGUGAAGCUGUGGUGAGCAUGCAUGAACAAGUCUCUUGCGAACAUAGGUUUUUAUUUCAUUUAGUGGUGGACGUGCUGAGCUGGACAGUAAAUAUGUUUAGCUUUAUGAUAAACUGCCAAAUAGUUUUCCAAAAUGGUUGCUCCAUGUUACAUGCUCACUAACACUAUUUGACAUUUCAUUGACUCCUUAUCUUUUUCAAUACUCAAUAUUGUCAAACUUUCAAAUUUUAGCCAUUUAGUGGGUAAGGAGUAGUGUCUCAACUGUGGUUUUAAUUUGUAUUUUCUUGAUGACUAAUAUGUUGAGCAUCUUUUCCCAUGAUAACUGAUUACACAUAUAUAUUUUUGUGUGAAGUAUGUGUUCAACAUUUAUGCCCAUUUUCAUUGUUUUUUGUUGUCUUGUUAAACUGUAAGAAUGUGUGUGUGUGUGUGUGUGUGUGUGUGUGUGUGUAACAAGUGUUUUUUUAGAUAUAUAUUUUUUGAAUAUUGCCUCAAAGUCUUGGGCUUCUCUUUUUCUUAACUGAAUAUCUUUCUAUGAGCAAAACUUUAAACAUUUGGUGUAAUUUUUCAUUUUUUUCUAUUAUUGUGAGUAUAGUGCGUAGCAUACCAUCAUGAUGAUGAUUUUUUCCUAUCCUCCCACAAUCUGUUUUGUAUUUUAGCUUUUACAUUUAGUCCUGUGAUCCAUUCUGAGUCAGUUUUUGUGUACGGCCUGAUGUAAGGGUGAAGGCCCAUUUCUUUUCCAUAGUAAUACCCAGUUGUUUCAGUACUAUUUAUUGAAAUUACUGUAUUUCUCUUAUUGAUAUGCAUUGGCAACUCUGUAGAAAAUUAAUUAUAUUAUUGUACUUAGCAUUUUAAUAAUAUUUUAAAUCCUUUUGUUAAGUAUGUAUUGCUUAUAUUUUCUCUUUAUAUGUUUCUUUUGACUGUCUUUCUAAUACAUACCUAUUUAAUAAACAUGUCAAAA
rnacentral:lncRNA from 1 species